rnacentral:misc_RNA from 1 species
UCCGACUCUACGCCGGCAGUCUCUCUAGAGUCCCCGACAUUACUCGCUGGCAACUAGAGACGAGGGUUGCGCUCGUUGCGGGACUUAACCCAACACCUCACGGCACGAGCUGAGGACAGCCAUGCAACACCUAUCGCAGGCCCUUACGGACACCACAUCUCUGUGGCUUUUCCUGCGUAGUUCAGCCCAGGUAAGGUUCUUCGCGUUACAUCGAAUUGAGCCACAUACUCCACCGCUUGUGCAGGCCCCCGUCAAUUUCUUUGAGUUUUAAUCUUGCGACCGUACUCCCCAGGCGGCACGUUUAUCGCGUUAGCUCCGCCACGAAAGGGGUCGAUUCCUCUCACAGCAAACGUGCACCGUUUACAGCCGGGACUAC